AGGACGAACGCUGGCGGCGUGCCUAACACAUGCAAGUCGAACGAGGUCCAACCGGUGGCAACACUGGUGAAGACCGAGUGGCGAACGGGUGAGUAACACGUGAGCAACCUGCCUCGAAGACUGGGAUAACCCCGGGAAACCGGAGCUAAUACCGGAUACCCCCACCGGGUCGCAUGGCCUGGUGAGGAAAUGGAUUCCGCUUUGAGAGGGGCUCGCGGCCUAUCAGCUUGAUGGUGGGGUAAUGGCCUACCAUGGCACCGACGGGUAGCUGGUCUGAGAGGACGAUCAGCCACACUGGGACUGAGACACGGCCCAGACUCCUACGGGAGGCAGCAGUGGGGAAUCUUGCGCAAUGGGCGAAAGCCUGACGCAGCAACGCCGCGUGUGGGACGAAGGCCUUCUGGGUUGUAAACCACUUUCAGCAGGGACGAUUGUGACGGUACCUGCAGAAGAAGCCCGGCCAACUACGUGCCAGCAGCCGC
rnacentral:rRNA from 1 species